rnacentral:rRNA from 1 species
UGGGGAAUUUUCCACAAUGGGCGAAAGCCUGACGGAGCAAUACCGCGUGAGGGAUGAAUGCCUAUGGGUUGUAAACCUCUUUUUUCAGGGAGGAACAAAAUGACGUGUACCUGAAGAAUAAGCAUCGGCUAACUCCGUGCCAGCAGCCGCGGUAAGACGGAGGAUGCAAGUGUUAUCCGGAAUCACUGGGCGUAAAGCGUCUGUAGGUGGUUUAAUAAGUCAACUGUUAAAUCUUGAGGCUCAACCUCGAAAUCGCAGUCGAAACUAUUAGACUAGAGUAUAGUAGGGGUAAAGGGAAUUUCCAGUGGAGCGGUGAAAUGCGUAGAGAUUGGAAAGAACACCGAUGGCGAAGGCACUUUACUGGGCUAUUACUAACACUCAGAGACGAAAGCUAGGGUAGCAAAUG